GGUUAAGUUAGAAAGGGCGCACGGUGGAUGCCUUGACACUAGGAGUCGAUGAAGGACGGGACUAACGCCGAUAUGCUUCGGGGAGCUGUAAGUAAGCUUUGAUCCGAAGAUUUCCGAAUGGGGAAACCCACCAUACGUAAUGGUAUGGUAUCCUUAUCUGAAUACAUAGGGUAAGGAAGACAGACCCAGGGAACUGAAACAUCUAAGUACCUGGAGGAAGAGAAAGCAAAUGCGAUUUCCUGAGUAGCGGCGAGCGAAACGGAACAUAGCCCAAACCAAGAGGCUUGCCUCUUGGGGUUGUAGGACAUUCUAUACGGAGUUACAAAGGAACGAGGUAGACGAAGCGACCUGGAAAGGUCCGUCGUAGAGGGUAACAACCCCGUAGUCGAAACUUCGUUCUCUCUUGAAUGUAUCCUGAGUACGGCGGAACACGUGAAAUUCCGUCGGAAUCUGGGAGGACCAUCUCCCAAGGCUAAAUACUCCCUAGUGAUCGAUAGUGAACCAGUACCGUGAGGGAAAGGUGAAAAGCACCCCGGAAGGGGAGUGAAAGAGAUCCUGAAACCGUGUGCCUACAAAUAGUCAGAGCCCGUUAACGGGUGAUGGCGUGCCUUUUGUAGAAUGAACCGGCGAGUUACGAUCCCGUGCGAGGUUAAGCUGAAGAGGCGGAGCCGCAGCGAAAGCGAGUCUGAAUAGGGCGUUUAGUACGUGGUCGUAGACCCGAAACCAGGUGAUCUACCCAUGUCCAGGGUGAAGUUCAGGUAACACUGAAUGGAGGCCCGAACCCACGCACGUUGAAAAGUGCGGGGAUGAGGUGUGGGUAGCGGAGAAAUUCCAAUCGAACCUGGAGAUAGCUGGUUCUCCCCGAAAUAGCUUUAGGGCUAGCCUUAAGUGUAAGAGUCUUGGAGGUAGAGCACUGAUUGGACUAGGGGUCCUCAUCGGAUUACCGAAUUCAGUCAAACUCCGAAUGCCAAUGACUUAUCCUUAGGAGUCAGACUGCGAGUGAUAAGAUCCGUAGUCAAAAGGGAAACAGCCCAGACCGCCAGCUAAGGUCCCAAAGUGUGUAUUAAGUGGAAAAGGAUGUGGAGUUGCUUAGACAACUAGGAUGUUGGCUUAGAAGCAGCCACCAUUUAAAGAGUGCGUAAUAGCUCACUAGUCGAGUGACUCUGCGCCGAAAAUGUACCGGGGCUAAAUACACCACCGAAGCUGCGGAUUGAUACCGAAUGGUAUCAGUGGUAGGGGAGCGUUCUAAGGACAGUGAAGUCAGACCGGAAGGACUGGUGGAGUGCUUAGAAGUGAGAAUGCCGGUAUGAGUAGCGAAAGACGGGUGAGAAUCCCGUCCACCGAAUGCCUAAGGUUUCCUGAGGAAGGCUCGUCCGCUCAGGGUUAGUCAGGACCUAAGCCGAGGCCGACAGGCGUAGGCGAUGGACAACAGGUUGAUAUUCCUGUACCACCUCUUUAUCGUUUGAGCAAUGGAGGGACGCAGAAGGAUAGAAGAAGCGUGCGAUUGGUUGUGCACGUCCAAGCAGUUAGGCUGAUAAGUAGGCAAAUCCGCUUAUCGUGAAGGCUGAGCUGUGAUGGGGAAGCUCCUUAUGGAGCGAAGUCUUUGAUUCCCCGCUGCCAAGAAAAGCUUCUAGCGAGAUAAAAGGUGCCUGUACCGCAAACCGACACAGGUAGGCGAGGAGAGAAUCCUAAGGUGUGCGAGAGAACUCUGGUUAAGGAACUCGGCAAAAUGACCCCGUAACUUCGGGAGAAGGGGUGCUUUCUUAACGGAAAGCCGCAGUGAAUAGGCCCAAGCGACUGUUUAGCAAAAACACAGCUCUCUGCGAAGCCGUAAGGCGAAGUAUAGGGGGUGACACCUGCCCGGUGCUGGAAGGUUAAGGAGAGGGGUUAGCGUAAGCGAAGCUCUGAACUGAAGCCCCAGUAAACGGCGGCCGUAACUAUAACGGUCCUAAGGUAGCGAAAUUCCUUGUCGGGUAAGUUCCGACCCGCACGAAAGGUGUAACGAUUUGGGCACUGUCUCAACCAGAGACUCGGUGAAAUUAUAGUACCUGUGAAGAUGCAGGUUACCCGCGACAGGACGGAAAGACCCCGUGGAGCUUUACUGUAGCCUGAUAUUGAAUUUUGGUACAGUUUGUACAGGAUAGGCGGGAGCCUUUGAAACCGGAGCGCUAGCUUCGGUGGAGGCGCUGGUGGGAUACCGCCCUGACUGUAUUGAAAUUCUAACCUACGGGUCUUAUCGACCCGGGAGACAGUGUCAGGUGGGCAGUUUGACUGGGGCGGUCGCCUCCUAAAGUGUAACGGAGGCGCCCAAAGGUUCCCUCAGAAUGGUUGGAAAUCAUUCGUAGAGUGCAAAGGCAUAAGGGAGCUUGACUGCGAGACCUACAAGUCGAGCAGGGACGAAAGUCGGGCUUAGUGAUCCGGUGGUUCCGCAUGGAAGGGCCAUCGCUCAACGGAUAAAAGCUACCCCGGGGAUAACAGGCUUAUCUCCCCCAAGAGUCCACAUCGACGGGGAGGUUUGGCACCUCGAUGUCGGCUCAUCGCAUCCUGGGGCUGUAGUCGGUCCCAAGGGUUGGGCUGUUCGCCCAUUAAAGCGGUACGCGAGCUGGGUUCAGAACGUCGUGAGACAGUUCGGUCCCUAUCCGUCGUGGGCGUAGGAAAUUUGAGAGGAGCUGUCCUUAGUACGAGAGGACCGGGAUGGACGCACCGCUGGUGUACCAGUUGUUCUGCCAAGGGCAUAGCUGGGUAGCUAUGUGCGGAAGGGAUAAGUGCUGAAAGCAUCUAAGCAUGAAGCCCCCCUCAAGAUGAGAUUUCCCAUAGCGUAAGCUAGUAAGAUCCCUGAAAGAUGAUCAGGUUGAUAGGUUCGAGGUGGAAGCAUGGUGACAUGUGGAGCUGACGAAUACUAAUAGAUCGAGGACUUAACCAUAUA
rnacentral:rRNA from 1 species